rnacentral:rRNA from 1 species
CACCUCUAGCAUAAAAAGUAUUAGAGGCAUCGCCUGCCCAGUGACUUAUAGUUAAACGGCCGCGGUAUCCUGACCGUGCAAAGGUAGCAUAAUCAUUUGUUCCUUAAUUAGGGACUUGUAUGAAUGGCAUGACGAGGGCUUAACUGUCUCUUAUAUUUGAUCAAUGAAAUUGACCUUUCCGUGAAGAGGCGGGAAUAUAAAAAUAAGACGAGAAGACCCUAUGGAGCUUAAAUCUACUCCCCUACAACUAAUAUUUAAUUACCUAUAAGGCCUAAACAUAAAGUACCUAAGGGAGUGACUUUGGUUGGGGUGACCUCGGAGAAAAGUAUAUCCUCCGAAAGACCAAAACCUAGACCUACUAGUCAAAGUAAAAGUCUAAUAUGAUCCAGAAAUUCUUCUGACCAAUGGACCAAGUUACCCUAGGGAUAACAGCGCUAUCUCACUGGAGAGUCCAUAUCGAUAGUGAGGUUUACGACCUCGAUGUUGGAUCAGGACAUCCUAAUGGUGCAGCAGCUAUUAAGGGUUCGUUUGUUCAACGAUUAAAGUCCU